rnacentral:tRNA from 1 species
GCGGGGGUGCCCGAGUCGGCCAAAGGGGCAGGACUUAAGAUCCUGUGGCGCAGGUCUUCGUGGGUUCGAAUCCCUCCCCCCGCA